UACGAAGGGGGCUAGCGUUGUUCGGAUUUACUGGGCGUAAAGCGCACGUAGGCGGAUCUUUAAGUCAGAGGUGAAAUCCCAAGGCUCAACCUUGGAAACUGCCUUUGAUACUGGGGAUCUCGAGUUCGGGAGAGGUGAGUGGAACUGCGAGUGUAGAGGUGAAAUUCGUAGAUAUUCGCAAGAACACCAGUGGCGAAGGCGGCUCACUGGCCCGGAUACUGACGCUGAGGUGCGAAAGCGUGGGGAGCAAACAGG
rnacentral:rRNA from 1 species